rnacentral:rRNA from 1 species
AUUGAACGCUGGCGGCAUGCUUUACACAUGCAAGUCGAACGGUAACAGGCCGCAAGGUGCUGACGAGUGGCGAACGGGUGAGUAAUGCAUCGGAACGUGCCCAGUCGUGGGGGAUAACGCAGCGAAAGCUGUGCUAAUACCGCAUACGAUCUAUGGAUGAAAGCGGGGGACCGUAAGGACUCGCGCGAUUGGAGCGGCCGAUGUCAGAUUAGGUAGUUGGUGGGGUAAAGGCUCACCAAGCCAACGAUCUGUAGCUGGUCUGAGAGGACGAACCGCCACACUGGUAAUGAGACACGGCCCAGACUGCUACGGGGGGCGGCAGUGGGGAAUUUUGUACAAGGGGCGCAAGCCUGAUCCAGCAAUGCCGCGUGCAGGAAGAAGGCCUUCGUGUUGUACACUGCUUGUGUACGGAACGAAACGGCGAGCUCUAAUACAGUUUGCUAAUGACGGUACCGUAAGAAUAAGCACCGGCUAACUACGUGCCAGCCGCCGCGGUAA